rnacentral:rRNA from 1 species
UCUUGCGGAGACGCGGGAGUGCCUUCGGGAACUGUAAGACAGGUGCUGCAUGGCUGUCGUCAGCUCGUGUUGUGAAAUGUUGGGUUAAGUCCCGCAACGAGCGCAACCCUUAUCCUUGUUUGCCAGCGAGUAAUGUCGGGAACUCCAGGGAGACUGCCGGUGAUAAACCGGAGGAAGGUGGGGACGACGUCAAGUCAUCAUGGCCCUUACGAGUAGGGCUACACACGUGCUACAAUGGCGCAUACAGAGGGCUGCAAGCUAGCGAUAGUAAGCGAAUCCCAAAAAGUGCGUCGUAGUCCGGAUUGGAGUCUGCAACUCGACUCCAUGAAGUCGGAAUCGCUAGUAAUCGUGGAUCAGAAUGCCACGGUGAAUACGUUCCCGGGCCUUGUACACACCGCCCGUCACACCAUGGGAGUGGGCUGCAAAAGAAGCAGGUAGUUUAACCUUCGGGAGGGCGAUCACCACGGUGUGGUUCAUGACUGAGGGAAAGUCGUAACAAGGUAACCACUUUCCC